rnacentral:rRNA from 1 species
CCGAGUGGCGAACGGGUGAGGAACGCGUGGACAACCUACCCCGGCGUGGGGGAUACCCGCCAGAAAUGGCGGCUAAUACCGCGUACGGUUCUCCGGCGAAGGGCUGGGGAAAGAAAGCAGUAAUGCGCGCUGGGAGGGGUCUGCGGCCGAUUAGCUUGUUGGCGGGGUAACGGCCCACCAAGGCGAUGAUCGGUAGCUGGUCUGAGAGGAUGAUCAGCCACACGGGGACUGAGACACGGCCCCG